AAUGAAGUGCCUGAUAAAAGGGCUAUCUUGAUAGGAUAAAUAAUGUAAAAUUUACCUUCAUUA
rnacentral:tRNA from 1 species